rnacentral:rRNA from 1 species
GAUGAACGCUGGCGGCGUGCUUAACACAUGCAAGUCGAACGGUGAAGGCGGAGCUUGCUCUGCUGGAUCAGUGGCUAACGGGUGAGUAACACGUGAGCAAUCUGCCCCUGACUCUGGGAUAAGCGCUGGAAACGGCGUCUAAUACUGGAUACGAGCUGCGAAGGCAUCUUCAGCAGCUGGAAAGAAUUUCGGUCAGGGAUGAGCUCGCGGCCUAUCAGCUUGCUGGUGAGGUAAUGGCUCACCAAGGCGUCGACGGGUAGCCGGCCUGAGAGGGUGACCGGCCACACUGGGACUGAGACACGGCCCAGACUCCUACGGGAGGCAGCAGUGGGGAAUAUUGCACAAUGGGCGAAAGCCUGAUGCAGCAACGCCGCGUGAGGGACGACGGCCUUCGGGUUGUAAACCUCUUUUAGCAGGGAAGAAGCGAAAGUGACGGUACCUGCAGAAAAAGCGCCGGCUAACUACGUG